rnacentral:rRNA from 2 species
UACGAAGGGGGCUAGCGUUGUUCGGAAUUACUGGGCGUAAAGCGCGCGCAGGCGGCUAUCCAAGUCAGUGGUGAAAGCCCGGAGCUCAACUCCGGAACUGCCAUUGAAACUGUUUAGCUUGAGGAUGAGAGAGGUGAGUGGAAUUCCCAGUGUAGAGGUGAAAUUCGUAGAUAUUGGGAAGAACACCGGUGGCGAAGGCGGCUCACUGGCUCAUUACUGACGCUCAGGCGCGAUAGCGUGGGGAUCAAACAGG